rnacentral:rRNA from 1 species
GUAUCCUACGGGGCGCAGCAGUGGGGAAUAUUGCGCAAUGGGGGAAACCCUGACGCAGCAACGCCGCGUGCGGGAUGAAGGCUUUCGGGUUGUAAACCGCUUUCAGCAGGGAAGAUAGUGACGGUACCUGCAGAAGAAGCCCCGGCUAAAUACGUGCCAGCAGCCGCGGUAAUACGGAGGAUGCGAGCGUUAUCCGGAUUCAUUGGGUUUAAAGGGUGCGCAGGCGGGCCUUUAAGGUGGCGG